GAUGAACGCUGGCGGCGUGCCUAAUACAUGCAAGUCGAGCGAACGGACGAGAAGCUUGCUUCUCUGAUGUUAGCGGCGGACGGGUGAGUAACACGUGGAUAACCUACCUAUCAGACUGGGAUAACUUCGGGAAACCGGAGCUAAUACCGGAUAAUAUUUUGAACCGCAUGGUUCAAAAGUGAAAGACGGUCUUGCUGUCACUUAUAGAUGGAUCCGCGCUGCAUUAGCUAGUUGGUAAGGUAACGGCUUACCAAGGCAACGAUGCAUAGCCGACCUGAGAGAGUGAUCGCCCACACUGGAGAGGAGACGCGGUCCAGACUCCUACGAUAGGCAGCAGAAGGGAACCGUCCGCAAUGGGCGAAAGCCUGACGGAGCAACGCCACGUGAGUGACGAAGGUCUUCGGAUCGUAAUACUCGGUUAUUAGGUAAGAACAUAUGUGUCAUUAACUGUGCACUUAGUGACGGUACCUAGUCAAAAAGCCCCGGCUAACUACGUG
rnacentral:rRNA from 1 species